rnacentral:lncRNA from 1 species
CCCCGCCCCCGCGGAGGUGUCAGCGGCGAUCUCGCGAGAGGUGACGGAAGCCCGCGGGGGACCCGGCCUUUAAUGUGCGGUGCGGCCGCGUUCCGGGAAACAGAAAAAUAGCUGUUCCAGUCCCUCCAGUUCAUUGCCAUGAAAAGGAGGAUAUGAUAGUUUGCCCUAUGAAACAGGUUUAUGUGUGAAAUCUGGCAGGU